CAAUAGCGUAUAUUAAAGUUGUUGCAGUUAAAAAGCUCGUAGUUGGAUCUCGGGUCCAGGCUUGCGGUCCGCCUCGCGGCGGCCACUGCUCGUCCUGACCUACCUGCCGGUAUGUCCCCCGAUGCUCUUGACUGAGUGUCUCGGGCGGCCGGAACGUUUACUUUGAAAAAAUUAGAGUGUUCAAAGCAGGCGCUUCGCCUGCAUAAUGUUGCAUGGAAUAAUGGAAUAGGACCUCGGUUCUAUUGCGUUGGUUUUCGGAGCUCGAGGUAAUGAUUAAGAGGGACGGACGGGGGCAUUCGUAUUGUGGCGUUAGAGGUGAAAUUCUUGGAUCGCCGCAAGACGGACUACAGCGAAAGCAUUUGCCAAGAAUGUUUUCAUUAAUCAAGAACGAAAGUCAGAGGUUCGAAGACGAUCAGAUACCGUCGUAGUUCUGACCAUAAACGAUGCCAGCUGGCGAUCCGGCGGAGUUGCUUCUAUGACUCGGCGGGCAGCCCCCGGGAAACCAAAGCUUUUGGGUUCCGGGGGGAGUAUGGUUGCAAAGCUGAAACUUAAAGGAAUUGACGGAAGG
rnacentral:rRNA from 1 species